GUGGGGAAUCUUGCGCAAUGGGCGAAAGCCUGACGCAGCCAUGCCGCGUGGAUGAUGAAGGUCUUAGGAUUGUAAAAUCCUUUCACCGGUGAAGAUAAUGACUGUAGCCGGAGAAGAAGCCCCGGCUAACUUCGUGCCAGCAGCCGCGGUAAUACGAAGGGGGCUAGCGUUGCUCGGAUUUACUGGGCGUAAAGGGCGCGUAGGCGGACAUUUAAGUCAGGGGUGAAAUCCCGGGGCUCAACCUCGGAACUGCCUUUGAUACUGGGUGUCUUGAGUAUGAGAGAGGUGUGUGGAACUCCGAGUGUAGAGGUGAAAUUCGUAGAUAUUCGGAAGAACACCAGUGGCGAAGGCGACUCACUGGCCCAAUACUGACGCUGAGGCGCGAAAGCGUGGGGAGCAAACAGGAUUAGAUACCCUAGUAGUCC
rnacentral:rRNA from 1 species